rnacentral:rRNA from 1 species
UACGUAGGGGGGCAAGCGUUGUCCGGAUUUAUUGGGCGUAAAGAGCGUGUAGGCGGCUAGAUAGGUCCGUUGUGAAAACUCGAGGCUCAACCUCGAGACGUCGAUGGAAACCAUCUGGCUAGAGUCCGGAAGAGGAGAGUGGAAUUCCUGGGUGUAGCGGUGAAAUGCGCAGAUAUCAGGAAGAACACCCGUGGCGAAGGCGGCUCUCUGGGCCUUACCUGACGCUGAGGAGCGAAAGCGUGGGUAGCGAACAGG